CCCUGGGAAGCACUGGGGAUAGUUUGCUCUGUGUGUGAGGGAGAGAGUCCCAAUAGGCCCUGGGCAACCCCAUAUUCCUCUCCUGGAAUGUUGCACAGGACAGGGAAAGAGUGUGGAGAGUGACCAGGAGCCAGCCCAGAGCUUCCCAGUCCCCUGUGCAGCUUUGGCCAUGUCUAUUCACAUCUGGCUCCCAUCGCCUUACCCAGCCCCCUGCAGUGCCCAGUUCCCUAAGACGGAAGGGGAUGCCAACACACUAUGAAUUACAGAAUCACGGAAUCACUGGGUUCGAAGAGACCAUCAAGAUCAUCAAGUCCAACCCAUCCCUAAAACCUCAACUACACUAUGGCAUGGAGUGCCACUUCCAGUCUUUUUUAAAACACAUCCAGGAAUGAUAACUCCACCACCUCCCCGGGCAAACUGUUCCAGUACUUCACUACACUUUCUGUAAAAAGCUUUUUCCUAAUAUCCAGCGUAUAUUUCUCUUGGCAAGCUUAGGACUGUGUCCUCUCAUUCUGUCAGUUGAUACCACAGAAAUGAUUCUGAUCUGUGCUCCCUUGUAGAUUGGGAUGCUAGAAAUGUUUUUCUGGCACCUUGGCUGGAAGAUAGAUUGGAUCCAGGUAAGAUAUCUAUAUUUACCAUAGAAUAGUGAUUGACAAUCUGGCAAGAACCAGGUGACAGAAGCUUCUCUGGUUGUUGAGUUACAGAUGUGUCUGCCGAGGGGAAUUUUCCAGCUCCUGGGCUGGAUGAAGCACGCAAGCCCGAAUACCAUGGCAGGGGUCCUCCAACAGGACAGACCCACGCUAAAGGAGAAAAUGAAUCCCUGACGCCUUCUGAACUUGUAGACCAGAUGCUGAAUGAUCUGGAGAGACGCCGUGAAAUGAAAGUAGAGCCUGUGCAGAUGGAAGCACUCCCCAGAGGAAGCAGUGGUUCCGUGCCAGUCUCGGCUGCAGAAAGGGAUGCCAUGCCAGGCACAGGCACAGGAGAUUGGGAUCCUGAUAUGGAUUAUUUGGUAGUCCUGGUGCAUAACCAUUUUAAGUCCUUGGAGGAUGCUGAAGGCAAGUUCAGUGUGACUUUCCUGACAGAAUAAUCAAUGUCCAUGUGCAAGAGCUUGCUCAUGCUACAUUUCCCUUUCACAUAAUCUCAGGGUUAAAGUAAUCUGGAAAUCUUCCCCUGCUCCCUUCUGGAGCUCUGAGGGAUCCCACAGGAUCACUGUCAGUGGGAGGAAGGAGCAUUUAGCUUUCCAUCUUCCUCCUGUGUGCAAUGACAGUGUGUCCUUCUGUGUGCUCUGUGCAGUCACAGAGAAGGGCAGAGAGGGAAGGGGCCGGGCCCAGGGCUGUGCCCCGGGGCUGAGCCUUUGGCAGCUCCUUUGCCAGCCCCAGGGAGCCUGAGCUGCUCCU